AUUGAACGCUGGCGGCAGGCCUAACACAUGCAAGUCGAACGAGUGGCGGACGGGUGAGUAAUGUCUGGGAAACUGCCUGAUGGAGGGGGAUAACUACUGGAAACGGUAGCUAAUACCGCAUACCAUCAGAUGUGCCCAGAUGGGAUUAGCUAGUUGGUGGGGUAACGGCUCACCAAGGCGACGGUCCCUAGCUGGUCUGAGAGGAUGACCAGCCAAACUGGAAUGGAGACACGGUCCAGACUCCUCCGGAAGGAAGCAGUGGGGAAUUUUGCACAAUGGGCGCAAGCCUGAUGAGGCCAUGCGGCGUGUAUGAGGAAGGCCUUCGGGUUGUAAAGUACUUUCAGCGGGGAGGCGUUACCCGCAGAGGAAGCACCGGCUAACUCCGUGCCAGCAGCCGCGGUAAUAC
rnacentral:rRNA from 1 species